GGCGCGAUGGCAGAGUGGUGAUGCAGCGGAUUGCAAAUCCGUGUACAGGGGUUCGAUUCCCCUUCGUGCCUCCA
rnacentral:tRNA from 2 species